rnacentral:rRNA from 1 species
CCCUUAGAUGUCCGGGGCCGCACGCGCGCUACACUGAAGGAAUCAGCGUGGCUUUCUCCCUGACCCGAAAGGGUUGGGAAACCCGUUGAAUCUCCUUCGUGAUAGGGAUUGGGGCUUGAAAUUGUUCCCCAUGAACGAGGAAUUCCCAGUAAGCGCGAGUCAUAAGCUCGCGUUGAUUACGUCCAUGCCCUUUGUACACACCGCCCGUCGCUACUACCGAUUGAACGGUUUAGUGAGGGCCUCGGAUUGGUCUCGGCCCGCUCUUUACCGGGCGGCGCCGUUGGUCGAGAAGACGCUCGAACUUGAUCGUUUAGAGGAAGUAAAAGUCGUAACA